UACGGAGGGUGCAAGCGUUGUCCGGAAUCACUGGGCGUAAAGGGCGCGUAGGCGGCCCGGUAAGUAGGGGGUGAAAUCCUGCGGCUUAACCGCAGGGCUGCCUUCUAAACUGUCGGGCUCGAGCACGGUAGAGGCAGAUGGAAUUCCCGGUGUAGCGGUGGAAUGCGUAGAGAUCGGGAAGAACAUCAGUGGCGAAGGCGGCCUUCUGGACCAAUACUGACGCUCAUGCACGAAAGCGUGGGGAGCAAACAGG
rnacentral:rRNA from 1 species